AUUCGGCUGAUGAAUUUCAAAUAGGACCAAACGCACGUCCUGGAU
rnacentral:hammerhead_ribozyme from 1 species